rnacentral:lncRNA from 10 species
GCCACCACACCCAGCUAAUUUUUUGUAUGUUUUAGUAGAGGCAGGGUUUCACCAUGUUGGCCAGGCUGGCUGAAGUGCUGGGAUUAGGCGUGAGCCAUCAUGCCCAGCCUCAUCUAACGAUCUUUAAGUUAUUCUAAUGGAGCUCUAUAGAGAGGGGUAUUCUGAAUCCAUUAAGUUAGGUCUUGCCUUAAUCCAAAAAAAUAAACUAAAGCUGUCUGCAUAUUUUUAAGGCAGUAUA